AUGACUCUGACCUGCAUCCUCCUCUGGACUCUCCUCUGCUGCUGCUUCACAGAGUCCCGAGGUCGGAUCACAGUGACCCAGUCUGGACCAGCCAGAUCUGAUCCGGGAGGCUCCGUCACCAUCACAUGCAAAACCAGCCAGAGUGUUUAUUAUGAUGACACUUAUGAAAAACACCUUUUAUCCUGGUACCAACAGAGAGACAGAGAAUCUCCUAAACCGCUCAUUUAUUGGGCUAACAGAAGACAAUCAGGUAUAUCAGAACGUUUUACAGGCAGUGGAUCAGGCUCUUUCUACAGUCUGACCAUCAGUGGAGUUCAGGCUGAAGAUGCUGCAGUUUAUCACUGCCAGAGUCUUCACGAGAUCAACUAUCAGGAUGUGUUCACACAGUGA